GACAAAAGGAGUUCGGUAAAUGAUGACUCGAAGCAAGAAUAGAUGAGGAAUUACAAACUACGCUGAUGCCAAAUGAGGUGGAAGACUAAGGAAGCUCGGUAAACAACCAUUUAAUACCAGAAUGGACAAGGUAAUAGACAAUCUCAUUUUUAUUUCAUUGGUAAAGUAUACAUUACAAAGCCUUGAAGACCAAAAACAAAAAGAGAAA
rnacentral:lncRNA from 1 species